rnacentral:rRNA from 1 species
UACGAAGGGAGCUAGCGUUGUUCGGAAUUACUGGGCGUAAAGCGUAUGCAGGCGGAUCGUUAAGUCGGGGGUGAAAUCCCGAGGCUCAACCUCGGAACUGCCUUCGAUACUGGCGACCUUCGAGUCCGGGAGAGGUGAGUGGAACUCCGAGUGUAGAGGUGAAAUUCGUAGAUAUUCGGAAGAACACCAGUGGCGAAGGCGGCUCACUGGCCCGGUACUGACGCUGAGAUACGAAAGCGUGGGGAGCAAACAGG